rnacentral:rRNA from 1 species
AAAUUGAAGAGUUUGAUCAUGGCUCAGAUUGAACGCUGGCGGCAGGCCUAACACAUGCAAGUCGAGCGGAAACGAGUUACCUGAACCUUCGGGGAACGAUAAUGGCGUCGAGCGGCGGACGGGUGAGUAAUGCCUAGGAAAUUGCCCUGAUGUGGGGGAUAACCAUUGGAAACGAUGGCUAAUACCGCAUGAUGCCUACGGGCCAAAGAGGGGGACCUUAGGGCCUCUCGCGUCAGGAUAUGCCUAGGUGGGAUUAGCUAGUUGGUGAGGUAAGGGCUCACCAAGGCGACGAUCCCUAGCUGGUCUGAGAGGAUGAUCAGCCACACUGGAACUGAGACACGGUCCAGACUCCUACGGGAGGCAGCAGUGGGGAAUAUUGCACAAUGGGCGCAAGCCUGAUGCAGCCAUGCCGCGUGUGUGAAGAAGGCCUUCGGGUUGUAAAGCACUUUCAGUCGUGAGGAAGGUAGUGUAGUUAAUAGCUGCAUUAUUUGACGUUAGCGACAGAAGAAGCACCGGCUAACUCCGUGCCAGCAGCCGCGGUAAUACGGAGGGUGCGAGCGUUAAUCGGAAUUACUGGGCGUAAAGCGCAUGCAGGUGGUUUGUUAAGUCAGAUGUGAAAGCCCGGGGCUCAACCUCGGAAUUGCAUUUGAAACUGGCAGACUAGAGUACUGUAGAGGGGGGUAGAAUUUCAGGUGUAGCGGUGAAAUGCGUAGAGAUCUGAAGGAAUACCGGUGGCGAAGGCGGCCCCCUGGACAGAUACUGACACUCAGAUGCGAAAGCGUGGGGAGCAAACAGGAUUAGAUACCCUGGUAGUCCACGCCGUAAACGAUGUCUACUUGGAGGUUGUGGCCUUGAGCCGUGGCUUUCGGAGCUAACGCGUUAAGUAGACCGCCUGGGGAGUACGGUCGCAAGAUUAAAACUCAAAUGAAUUGACGGGGGGCCCGCACAAGCGGUGGAGCAUGUGGUUUAAUUCGAUGCAACGCGAAGAACCUUACCUACUCUUGACAUCCAGAGAACUUUCCAGAGAUGGAUUGGUGCCUUCGGGAACUCUGAGACAGGUGCUGCAUGGCUGUCGUCAGCUCGUGUUGUGAAAUGUUGGGUUAAGUCCCGCAACGAGCGCAACCCUUAUCCUUGUUUGCCAGCGAGUAAUGUCGGGAACUCCAGGGAGACUGCCGGUGAUAAACCGGAGGAAGGUGGGGGACGACGUCAAGUCAUCAUGGCCCUUACGAGUAGGGCUACACACGUGCUACAAUGGCGCAUACAGAGGGCAGCCAACUUGCGAAAGUGAGCGAAUCCCAAAAAGUGCGUCGUAGUCCGGAUUGGAGUCUGCAACUCGACUCCAUGAAGUCGGAAUCGCUAGUAAUCGUGGAUCAGAAUGCCACGGUGAAUACGUUCCCGGGCCUUGUACACACCGCCCGUCACACCAUGGGAGUGGGCUGCAAAAGAAGUAGGUAGUUUAACCUUCGGGGGGACGCUUACCACUUUGUGGUUCAUGACUGGGGUGAAGUCGUAACAAGGUAGCGCUAGGGGAACCUGGCGCUGGAUCACCUCCUUA